GUGUUGUAUGAAAGGAAAGAAGGUUAACACUACUCUUGACGAGGAUGUAAGAGGCUCUCAGGCCUGACAACAUGCAUAUGAUUAAGGCAUUGUCUACCUACUUUGUGGCAUCUAACCAAAUUUUUUU
ensembl:snRNA